UAUGGUUAAGUGACUAAGCGUACACGGUGGAUGCCUUGGCAGUCAGAGGCGAUGAAAGGCGUAAUAACUUGCGAUAAGCCCAGAUUAGGUAGUAAUAACCUUUAAGUCUGGGAUUCCUGAAUGGGGAAACCCACUUACAUAAGUAAGUAUCCUGUUGUGAAUACAUAGCAACAGGAGGCAAACCGGGGGAACUGAAACAUCUAAGUACCCCGAGGAAGAGAAAUCAACCGAGAUUCCGAAAGUAGCGGCGAGCGAAAUUGGAUUAGCCCUUAAGCUUUUAAUGAGACAGAUGAAGGCUCUGGAAAGUGCCGCAAUAAAGGGUGAUAGCCCCGUAAUCGACAUCUCAUCAUCAGUGAAAACGAGUAGGGCGGGACACGUGAUAUCCUGUCUGAAUAUGGGGGGACCAUCCU
rnacentral:rRNA from 1 species